rnacentral:misc_RNA from 1 species
GAUGAAGAACGCAGCGAAAUGCGAUAAGUAAUGUGAAUUGCAGAAUUCAGUGAAUCAUCGAAUCUUUGAACGCACAUUGCGCCCGCCAGUAUUCUGGCGGGCAUGCCUGUUCGAGCGUCAUUUCAACCAUCAAGCCCUGCUUGCGUUGGGGUCCUGCGGCUGCCCGCAGGCCCUGAAAACCAGUGGCGGGCUCGCUAGUCACACCGAGCGCAGUAAUACAUCUCGCUUUGGGCGUGCGGCGGGUUCUUGCCGUUAAACACCCCCUUUUUACCAAGGUUGACCUCGGAUCAGGUAGGAAUACCCGCUGAACUUAAGCAUAUAAUAAGCGGAGGA